CACAGAUCCCUACGCCCGGCACCCCCUCGCCCAGAGACCUCCCCACAGAUCCCUACGCCCGGCGCCCCCUCGCCCAGAGACCUCCCCACAGACCUCCCCACAGAUCCCUACGCCCGGCGCCCCCUCGCCCAGAGACCUCCCCACAGAUCCCUACGCCCGGCGCCCCCUCGCCCAGAGACCUCCCCACAGACCUCCCCACAGAUCCCUACGCCCGGCGCCCCCUCGCCCAGAGACCUCUCCACAGAUCCCUACGCCCAGCGCCCCCUCGCCCAGAGACCUCCC